UCAGGAGGGACACCCAUGGAGAAGGCAGAUCUCUGGCCAAUACUUACUCUGAUGAGCGAAAGCGCGGAGAGAGAUCAUUAAUUAGCUAGCGCGGGUAGUCCGCGCCUUACACGAUGGUCGGUAGUUGUGGGGACCUUCCACGUUCUCUGCGAUGCAGCUAAAGCAAUAAGAACCUCGCCUGGAGACUCCGAUAGCAAGAUUAAACUUCAAAGGAAUGGAGGGGGCCAGUCACAAGCAGCGGAGCAUGAGGCUUAAUUGGAGUCUACGCGAAGAACCUUAUCAAGGCUUGACAUAUUUUGAAAAGCAACAAAGAUGUUGUGUCCGCAAGGGCGGUAUACUUCCGGCGCAUGGUUGUCGUCAACUCGUGUCGUGAGAUGUUGGGUUAAGUCCCGCAACGAGCGCAACCCUCGUUCUGUGUAGCCAGCAUUAAAUUGGGGACUCACAGGAGACUGCCGUGGUCAACUCGGAGUAAGGUGGGGAUGAGGUCAAAUCAUCAUGCCCCUUAUGUCUUGGGUGACACCCAUGCAACAAUGGCAGGUACAAAGGGCUGCAAUACCUUAAGUUGGACCGAAUCCCAAAAAGUGUAUGUCAGUUCGGGGAGAGGUCUGCAAUUCAUCCUCAUGAAGUCCGAGUUGCUAGUAAUGCUAGAUCAGCAAUGUUACGGUGAAUACCUUCCCGGGGCUUGUACACAACGCCCGUAACGUCCCGAAAGUC
rnacentral:rRNA from 1 species